UACGGAGGGGGCGAGCGUUGUCCGAAUUUAUUGGGCGUAAAGCGCGUGUAGGCGGAGAUCCAAGCCCGGGGUGAAAGGUUGGGGCUCAACCCCAACAGUGCCCUGGGGACUGGAUCUCUGGAGGCAGGCAGAGGAGCGUGGAAUUCCUAGUGUAGCGGUGAAAUGCGUAGAUAUUAGGAGGAACACCAGUGGCGAAGGCGGCUUUCUGGACUGAUACUGACGCUGAGGAACGAAAGCGUGGGGAGCAAACAGGAUUAGAUACCCGCGUAGUCCCU
rnacentral:rRNA from 1 species